rnacentral:lncRNA from 1 species
CGGGCUGACCGAGCUGUUCGCCUAGCACGUUGCGCCAUCGGCCAUAUAAGAAACUGUGCAGGAUGUCGGAGGUGAUGACCUCUGCCAGCGCCAACCCCGGAGCCUUCAGCCCUGUUUUGAGCACCAGGGCCUCAGCUGGGAGCACAGAGCCCAUCAUGGGCGGCGGAGGGCUCGCCGCGGGCGCCGCCGAAGGACGGCUAGGUGGACUCCGGAGAGUGGAUUCUGCAUAGUCUUUCCAAGGUACCUGGGAGCCAGCUCCACACCUCUUCAGAAACAGUUGCUAAGUCGGGAAGAUCACGGCUUCCUGUGUGCACCGAAGUCUCCUGGAUAGCCUUAAGACUAUCCCCACACCUUCAGCUCCAGAAACGUUGGAGCGGCUUUGGGCACACCUCACUCAACAGCCUAAGUCCUCAGAGCCCCCUCCCCUACUCCCGCUGCAAUUUCAGGUGACGCAAAGGAAAGUUCCGCAGCCCUGGAGGCUGGUUUGUGUGAGUUCCCGUGUUAGGGCUCCACUGUACAGUGAAGACUCUUCAGGCCUUCGAAGCCCUGUGACUUGGGCGUGGAUAGCGCUGGCAGCUCGGGACUGAGAUUUGACCCACGAAUCAGAUUCUAAUGCCUAAUGCCGCUAGGAAAAGAACCCUUUCCACCACCAGCUCCCCAGAGCUAAGCUUGCCUCGCUCUUGGCAACCAUGGGAUCCCAGGUCUCUAUAAGCCCUAGUCGGAGCCAGUGGUCUGGCAUCCUCAGCCCGGCAGGCGGGAGACUAAAGCGCCAAGCCGGCGAUAGGAAGUCUUCCGAAGCAGAACCUCUGGAGCCCAGUGGAGAGUGGGUGUACCGGGCCGGGAGAGGGACCAACGGGCAGGGCGCCAGCAGAGGGCAGCGCUGCAGAGGAGCAAGGGCUGCCGGCGGGUAAGAGUUCCUUACAGAUGCCGCCGGUGAGUUAAAUCCUUUCGCGGAGAGGUCCAGUUUGGAGAGGAGUAUGGAAUCCAAUGGCUCGGUGGCAAGAGAGCCUGACCGGCGCCUGGAUCUAAGUGGAGAGGAGACUGAGCUGGGCAGAAGAAUGCCAGGACUGGGGCACUCAGCCUCCAACCCCGAAAGCCUUCCUCAGCGUUUGCGGCAGACUAAAGGGAACGGAAGACAGCAGAGCAUCCUGGGGACAGCCCUUCUCUUCUCCGGACCUCUGGGCUCCUGCCUGACAGUGGUUUGAGUUGAACUAUGUGCUGUGCUGUCUUCCCAGCCUGUCGCUCUUCGGAUCAGAUCGUUUGGCUUUCCCCGGCGCUGAGCAGGAUUCUUAACAAUUCCCUCGCUACACUCUACUGUGAAAUUCUCCCAGGUCCCAGAGUCCUUCAUGCCUGGGGCGAAUUUUCGUUCCAAUCCCAAGAUUGAAGUCAAAAGACAGAAAGACCGAAGGCUCUGACUGAGACCAGGACCCCCUUAUUACUUUCCUCAGGUCCCCCAAAACCUGGGGAAACUAUGCUGGAGGAGCCUAAACAGCCUUCUAGCUGGGGUGCCCACGGACCUGGAAUGUAGUUGCUGCGCUCUCAUUUUGAGCUUCUGGCCUAGUGAUAGUCCCACCUGGCCCUAUGCACCCUCAAAAUCAAGUCCUGCAGAGAGGACUGCCCACCGGGAUCGAACAGUAAGGCCUGUGAGCGCGCAUCUGUUUGCUUGGAGGCUUCGAGAAGAAAUGCUGCGGGUUCACAGUGAAGGAACCACGUCUCUGGGACCCAGGCGCCGAGUGUGCCUGCGCGAAGACCCCUCCCAUGGACCCGGCUGGGUCGGAGCUGCAAAGCACCGCCCCCGCCCCCUUGAUCGCGCCCGCGGGCUGUCGCUCGGCGAUCUCUUUAAUAUUCAUGGGCGUUAAUAGAGAGGCCCCCAGUAUAUCGGCCCAUUGUGGGCGGCUCGUAGGGCUUGAAUAGACCCUGGCCCUCUUUCUUCGCAGAGGCUUCCCGAGGGGCCGGGCCAGGAGUGAAUGGCCCCUCUUCCCGCUCCUCACCCACCCCCACCCCCUUUUCAGGGACAACAUCUUUAUCCCUGCUGCUGCUGCCGCCGCCGCCGCCGCCCGAGCCCCAUUCACUCGGCCCGGACUCUGGGCGGAACGAAUCAAUCGGCUGCGGUUCUUCGGAGGUCAUCUCCGCCGCCCGUGCCCCAUCCCCCAGCCCACGGGAGUGGGGACAAGGGAAGCAGCGGCCGGCCGACAGACCCACCAGCGAAGGGACCCAGAGUGGGGUGUAGAGGACAGGGCAGGAUAGGGUGGUAAUCGGAUGGGAACGAUCAGAAAGGGUGGCUGAGCCAAGGAACACCAAGAGGGUCUCAGGACCCCGCCUCGGCCAGGCAUUGCUAAUUCCAACUUGUUGCCUCUGGCAGGGAGCCCAGGGGACCAGGGCGGCAGUGCGAGCCCGGAGAUGAGUCCCGCGUCCCUUCCAGUCUCCAGCGUGCAUCCCUUCGGGUCCGCGUCCGCAACCGCGAGACCCGGAGCGUGGGAAGCAGCGGAGACUCUGGUCCAGCCCUCAGGGCACGUCGGUUUCUUUCAGUGCGAAUGGGCUUUGCUCCUUGAUGACCAGGUUGGGCCAUUCGGACCGCGGCAGCGUAGACCAAAUUCCAACCCUUAAACCAACGCCGGUCGUCCCAGGCCUCAGUGCCCCGGGCGCGAGUCGGUCAGGCAGGGCCAACUCGAUGGGUCCCCGCCCCUCCCGUCCCGGAGGCGCUAGGAGAAAAGAAGCCCAUUGUCCGCCAAGAAAUACAUUUUGGGGCCCCGGAGAGAAAGCUCCUGUUUUGAACUUUAGAAGAAAGUCUCCUGCCCUUGCCCCUCACAGGGAGAGAUUUGUCGUCCCACCAUCUCCAGGGCCUCAGAGCGCCGCCUCCUCCCGAAACAUCUGCCGGGGGAAAAUCCACCCUGGAGGGCAGAUCGUGCUGGCUUUAAGCCCCGAGAACUCAUUAAAAAGAUAUUAGCGGCGGGGGCAGGUCCCGCGCAGGUAUCGAUCGACCGGAAUGAGCCCGAGCGGGGCUGGGGGCUGGGGUGCGGGGACAAGAAAGCAAAGAAUGCGGCGGAUCUGUGUCCGGAACCCCCACCUGGGCUCAGUCUUGUACACCCGGGCCCUGCGCUGCCGAGCCUCCCGCGGCUCCCAGGACGCCCCCAGCCAUCCCGGCCCCGCCGGCUUCUUCCAGCUCCUUGCCAUUGCCUGAGGCUACAGGCACUCCCCCACUCCGCCCUGCUUUAAGGCUUCGCCCCAGCUUCCUGCUGGCUGUGCGCCUCUGUCUCGCACUGAGCUCCCGCCUUUCUGAAACCCUCUAGGCUUUCACCACCCCCAAACCCGGUCUCUCUCUUAGGCAACAAUUCUACCUCCUCUCCAUUCCAAACGGGGCUCAGGAAAUGCUCUCUUUAUAGGGGCCCAGGUGUACCCCCGCUCCCCGGUUCCGGUAGCUCCAGGGCGCCCCCGCGGGCGCGGACAAAGGCGCGACGGGCUGCCUAAACCGAAUGGGAACUCUUGCGGGCCGGGCGGUCUUCAACAGACGUGACUGGAGCAAGCCGCUGAGAGUCGGCUAUGGCUAGGAAAAGGGAGAUGGUGGUCUCCCUGUUAGCCCUAUCUCCACCCUAACUAACCUCUGAACCAGUGGGAGACAAAGACGCGCCCCGUACACUCACAUCGAGACCCCGAGCUGGAGCCUGGGCAGACAGAUGACCUGGGACUAGAGUUUCCCCGCGCGCCCAGAGCUAGAUGGCUGUUCUUCCUAAGGCGUCGCCCCCCCGACCCCCAUACCCGUACCCCAAUACCCAUGGCCCAGCCCUCUUCGGCCACCAUCCUGGCUGUGCACUGGAAAGACUCUGGAGGAGGCUGGGAACCAGGAGAAGCAAUGAUGGAUUGACCCAGGCUUCUGGAGGCAGAGGGCGCAGAGGUGGGGAGAGAGACUGAGGUAGAGGCAGAGAUGGGAGGAUACAGACAAAGUGAACAUCUGAGAGACUCGGACAACAGACAGGAUGAAGGAAGCAAAGAAUGGCAAGAAAGCCGGGACUAAGACCAUCAGAAGAAGUCAGAGGUACCGCUGAGAAGAAGUAGGGACUUCAGACACAAAAUGGGGAUACUGGCUAAAGGAUGCUCCAGGAAAGAUGCAGAGAGUGAAAGAGGAGAGGGAGACUGGAUGCCCUGGAGUCAAGGUGGCAGCCAUCAAGGGGCACCAAGGACCCCUUCCCAGGCUACUCACAUGUCUUUUCUCCCAGAGUCCCUUUUCCAUACCCACCCCCUGCAACCUCCAUCAUCUCAACCUUCCUGGUUUGUUUGUUUGUUUGUUUGUUUGUUUGUUUGAUUUUCCAAGUAGCUUCCCUGAAGGGCUUCCAGUUUCUAGCCCAGCCUCCCUGUGGUCUUGGUCGCCCACCCCCCAGAGCAGAAGGCCAGGAAGGAGGAACUGCCUGUGUCCCUACCAUCUGCCUCACCUGCUCCCUGGUGAAUGAGGGAGGCCUCCGGUUCCUUCUUUUUUGUGUCAGGUCCUGGACAGCUUGGAGCUUCCAGGGCAGAACCGGCCCUUGAUUUCUCAGAAUAGCUUACAGGAAGGUGCACCCUGGUGAACCAGGAGUGAUGGCAGCCUGCCUUAGCCUGGUGGUCCUGACCCUUGCUCUUUAGGGUCUGACACAUACUAGGUGCUGUGUCUAUGGAUGGCAGAUGGCUCUCUUUGUCAUGUUGGUGGCUUCUUGGCUUUAUCCACAGAUUAGAAACAAAAAACUUUCCUUUCCUAAAACCUUUGGUACCCGGACCAAGCUUAGGCUCCAGCUUCACAGACAGUGGACAUUGAAGCAAUGCCCAGAGCAUCCUCCUAACACUGCUUUCCUCCCCAGAGAUGCUUUGGGAACCUAUGGGGAAAUGCCCAGGGUUUCAAGUGUGCAUCCAAGCCAGGCUCUUGCAGAUUCUACCAAGAAAAGAACCAAGGCAGCCACUUCCCUUGUCUGUGUCUUUAUCUGCACUUCCCUUGUCUGUGUCUUUAUCUGCAAGAUGGGACUAAGGAAAGAAUCUCUACCUGAAAAUGGAAACCAAUCAGUAAGUAAGGAGAGGUCAGAAUGAAAGCAAGCAGAACAGGAGUCUAAGUAGUGUCUGCUAAGCACUGGUACUGUUUCCAGCAUUUGUCAUGACUCAUCUCAAGCCAUCCUCACCCCAUCACACCAACGUAACUGAUGGCUGUGGCAAGCCACAGAAGACGAUGUAUUUCUGGAGUAUUCCAUAUAUGGAAAAUAUCAUCAACUGUGUUCCACUUAAGACGACAACAAUUACAAAUGCUGGCAAGAUAGUUCAACCAGUAAGAGGGGCUUGCAGCCAACUCUGACAACUUGAGUUUGAUCCCUGGGAUGCAUGUGGUGUAAGGAGAGGACUGACUCCCUUGAGUUGUCAUAUACAAACACACAAAAUAAACAUUUUAUUUAAAAAUA